GGAGAGGGAGAUCCGGAUCCGUGGCACCUCCGUCCGUUUUCGGAGGGAUCCGCACCCUUGAUGACUCCGUCUGAAUUUUAUUGGAGUAGAGGAUCCAAGACCCUCGCUGACUCUGUCUGAAUUUUUGGUUUCAGUUUGGUACCGAAGCUGCGCGGCGCGUCUGCUUGUUACUUGUUUGACUGUUGGAAUUGUUUGUCUUCUUUGUGACCUGACUGUGGUUUUCUGGACGUGUUGUGUCUGUUAGUGUCUUUUUGACUUUUGUUUCGUGUUUGAAUUUGGACUGACGACUGUGUUUAAAAUCUUGGACCGACGACUGUGUUUGAAAUCAUGAAACUGUUUGCUUUGUUCGUCGAAGAGUUUUACUUGGUCCCCUUAAUGCUUAGUAAGAAACUUAAUCUUAUGGACCCCGCUCUAGUGGCGGUGUGUUGGUUGAUAGCCAAUGUUAAGUUUUUAAAACAUAGUGUUUUAUCUGUGCUUGUGCUCCCAACACACAGUAGGGAGGAG
rnacentral:lncRNA from 1 species